UUGAACGCUGGCGGCAGGCCUAACACAUGCAAGUCGAACGGUAACAGGAAGCAGCUUGCUGCUUCGCUGACGAGUGGCGGACGGGUGAGUAAUGUCUGGGAAACUGCCUGAUGGAGGGGGAUAACUACUGGAAACGGUAGCUAAUACCGCAUAACGUCGCAAGACCAAAGAGGGGGACCUUCGGGCCUCUUGCCAUCGGAUGUGCCCAGAUGGGAUUAGCUAGUAGGUGGGGUAACGGCUCACCUAGGCGACGAUCCCUAGCUGGUCUGAGAGGAUGACCAGCCACACUGGAACUGAGACACGGUCCAGACUCCUACGGGAGGCAGCAGUGGGGAAUAUUGCACAAUGGGCGCAAGCCUGAUGCAGCCAUGCCGCGUGUAUGAAGAAGGCCUUCGGGUUGUAAAGUACUUUCAGCGGGGAGGAAGGGAGUAAAGUUAAUACCUUUGCUCAUUGACGUUACCCGCAGAAGAAGCACCGGCUAACUCCGUGCCAGCAGCCGCGGUAAUACGGAGGGUGCAAGCGUUAAUCGGAAUUACUGGGCGUAAAGCGCACGCAGGCGGUUUGUUAAGUCAGAUGUGAAAUCCCCGGGCUCAACCUGGGAACUGCAUCUGAUACUGGCAAGCUUGAGUCUCGUAGAGGGGGGUAGAAUUCCAGGUGUAGCGGUGAAAUGCGUAGAGAUCUGGAGGAAUACCGGUGGCGAAGGCGGCCCCCUGGACGAAGACUGACGCUCAGGUGCGAAAGCGUGGGGAGCAAACAGGAUUAGAUACCCUGGUAGUCCACGCCGUAAACGAUGUCGACUUGGAGGUUGUGCCCUUGAGGCGUGGCUUCCGGAGCUAACGCGUUAAGUCGACCGCCUGGGGAGUACGGCCGCAAGGUUAAAACUCAAAUGAAUUGACGGGGGCCCGCACAAGCGGUGGAGCAUGUGGUUUAAUUCGAUGCAACGCGAAGAACCUUACCUGGUCUUGACAUCCACAGAACUUUCCAGAGAUGGAUUGGUGCCUUCGGGAACUGUGAGACAGGUGCUGCAUGGCUGUCGUCAGCUCGUGUUGUGAAAUGUUGGGUUAAGUCCCGCAACGAGCGCAACCCUUAUCCUUUGUUGCCAGCGGUCCGGCCGGGAACUCAAAGGAGACUGCCAGUGAUAAACUGGAGGAAGGUGGGGAUGACGUCAAAUCAUCAUGCCCUUUAUGUCCUGGGCUACACACGUACUACAAUGGGUGUAACAGAGGGAAGCAACACAGUGAUGUGAAGCGAAACCCAAAAAGCACCCCCAGUUCGGAUUGAAGGCUGAAAUUCGCCUUCAUGAAGCCGGAAUUGCUAGUAAUGGCAGGUCAGCAUACUGCCGUGAAUACGUUCCCGGGCCUUGUACACACCGCCCGUCACACCAUGAGAGUUGGGGAUACCCGAAGCCUGUGAGCCAACAUAUCUAUGAGGCAGCAGUCGAAGGUAGAAUCAAUGAUUGGGGUG
rnacentral:rRNA from 1 species